CUUCUUGAGAUUUAGGUAAGAGGUUGUACCUGCCCACUGAUGUGGAGAGUUGAAGGGCCGCGGUAUCUUGACCGUGCAAAGGUAGCAUAAUCAUUAGUCUUUUAAUUGGGGACUGGAAUGAAGGGUUUGACGAGGCAGUGACUGUCUUUUGAAUAUUUUUUGAAUUUUACUUUUGGGUUAAAAGGCCUAAAUUUUGAAUGGGGACGAGAAGACCCUAUAGAUCUUUACUUUUGAUUUGGGAUAUUUAGUGUGGUUGACGUUUAAUGUAUUUUUAAUUAGGGGUUUUGUUGGGGUGACAGUAGAAAAUAAUUAACUUCUAUUGAAGAGUACUUUGAUGUAUGGUUAGUUGAUCCUUUAUUAUGGAUUAUAAGAUUAAGAUACCUUAGGGAUAACAGCGUUAUUUUGUUUGAGAGUUCUUAUUGACAACAAAGAUUGCGACCUCGAUGUUGGAUUAAGAUAAUAAAUUGGUGUAGUGGCUAAUUGUAUUAGUCUGUUC
rnacentral:rRNA from 1 species